AGCAGCCGCGGUAAUUCCAGCUCCAAUAGCGUAUAUUAAAGUUGUUGCAGUUAAAAAGCUCGUAGUUGAAUUUCGGGGUCAGUAGGCUGGUCGUGCCACAGGUAUGUACUGGUCUUACUGAUUCCUCCUUCCUGAUGAACCGUAAUGCCAUUAAUUUGGUGUUGCGGGGAAUCUGGACUGUUACUUUGAAAAAUUAGAGUGUUUAAAGCAGGCUAACGCUUGAAUACAUUAGCAUGGAAUAAUGAAAUAGGACGAUCGAUCCUAUUUUGUUGGUUUCUAGGAUUGACGUAAUGAUUAAUAGGGAUAGUUGGGGGCAUUAGUAUUCAAUUGUCAGAGGUGAAAUUCUUGGAUUUAUUGAAGACUAACUACUGCGAAAGCAUUUGCCAAGGAUGUUUUCAUUAAUCAAGAACGAAAGUUAGGGGAUCGAAGACGAUCAGAUACCGUCGUAGUCUUAACCAUAAACUAUGCCGACUAGGGAUCGGAUGAUGUUAAUUUUUAAUGACUCAUUCGGCGCCUUAAC
rnacentral:rRNA from 1 species